CUCGAAAGGGACGCUAAUACCGCAUAACAUCCCGCCUUUGGACAGGCGAGAUCAAAGCGGGGACCGCAAGGCCUGGCGCUUGGAGAGGGGCCCGCGCCGGAUUAGCUAGUUGGUGAGGUAACGGCCCACCAAGGCGACGAUCCGUAGCCGGCCUGAGAGGGCGGACGGCCACACUGGGACUGAGACACGGCCCAGACUCCUACGGGAGGCAGCAGUGGGGAAUUGUUCGCAAUGGGCGCAAGCCUGACGACGCAACGCCGCGUGGAGGACGAAGAUCUUCGGAUCGUAAACUCCUGUCGAGCGGGACGAAAGAUCCGGGACCUAACACGUCUCGGGAGUGACGGUACCGCUAAAGGAAGCCCCGGCUAACUCCGUGCCAGCAGCCGCGGUAAUACGGGGGGGGCCAGCGUUGUUCGGAAUUACUGGGCGUAAAGGGCGCGUAGGCGGCUUAGUCAGACGUGAAAUCCCUCGGCUCAACCGGGGAACUGCGUCU
rnacentral:rRNA from 1 species